UUAAUUGAUUAUGACGUGCUUGCACUGAAUGAGAUUUUAACACGAAGUGAGUGGCGGACGGGUGAGUAACACGUGGGUAACCUGCCCAGAAGCAGGGGAUAACACCUGGAAACAGAUGCUAAUACCGUAUAACAGAGAAAACCGCCUGGUUUUCUUUUAAAAGAUGGCUCUGCUAUCACUUCUGGAUGGACCCGCGGCGCAUUAGCUAGUUGGUGAGGUAACGGCUCACCAAGGCGAUGAUGCGUAGCCGACCUGAGAGGGUAAUCGGCCACAUUGGGACUGAGACACGGCCCAGACUCCUACGGGAGGCAGCAGUAGGGAAUCUUCCACAAUGGACGCAAGUCUGAUGGAGCAACGCCGCGUGAGUGAAGAAGGGUUUCGGCUCGUAAAGCUCUGUUGUUAAAGAAGAACGUGGGUGAGAGUAACUGUUCACCCAGUGACGGUAUUUAACCAGAAAGCCACGGCUAACUACGUGCCAGCAGCCGCGGUAAUACGUAGGUGGCAAGCGUUAUCCGGAUUUAUUGGGCGUAAAGCGAGCGCAGGCGGUCUUUUAAGUCUAAUGUGAAAGCCUUCGGCUCAACCGAAGAAGUGCAUUGGAAACUGGGAGACUUGAGUGCAGAAGAGGACAGUGGAACUCCAUGUGUAGCGGUGAAAUGCGUAGAUAUAUGGAAGAACACCAGUGGCGAAGGCGGCUGUCUGGUCUGUAACUGACGCUGAGGCUCGAAAGCAUGGGUAGCGAACAGGAUUAGAUACCCUGGUAGUCCAUGCCGUAAACGAUGAUUACUAAGUGUUGGAGGGUUUCCGCCCUUCAGUGCUGCAGCUAACGCAUUAAGUAAUCCGCCUGGGGAGUACGACCGCAAGGUUGAAACUCAAAAGAAUUGACGGGGGCCCGCACAAGCGGUGGAGCAUGUGGUUUAAUUCGAAGCUACGCGAAGAACCUUACCAGGUCUUGACAUCUUCUGCCAACCUAAGAGAUUAGGCGUUCCCUUCGGGGACAGAAUGACAGGUGGUGCAUGGUUGUCGUCAGCUCGUGUCGUGAGAUGUUGGGUUAAGUCCCGCAACGAGCGCAACCCUUAUUACUAGUUGCCAGCAUUCAGUUGGGCACUCUAGUGAGACUGCCGGUGACAAACCGGAGGAAGGUGGGGACGACGUCAAAUCAUCAUGCCCCUUAUGACCUGGGCUACACACGUGCUACAAUGGAUGGUACAACGAGUCGCGAAACCGCGAGGUUUAGCUAAUCUCUUAAAACCAUUCUCAGUUCGGACUGUAGGCUGCAACUCGCCUACACGAAGUCGGAAUCG
rnacentral:rRNA from 1 species